UCUUCCCUCUUUCUUCGUGCCUAAUACAUGCAAGUCGAGCGAACAGACGAGGAGCUUGCUCCUCUGACGUUAGCGGCGGACGGGUGAGUAACACGUGGAUAACCUACCUAUAAGACUGGGAUAACUUCGGGAAACCGGAGCUAAUACCGGAUAAUAUAUUGAACCGCAUGGUUCAAUAGUGAAAGACGGUUUUGCUGUCACUUAUAGAUGGAUCCGCGCCGCAUUAGCUAGUUGGUAAGGUAACGGCUUACCAAGGCAACGAUGCGUAGCCGACCUGAGAGGGUGAUCGGCCACACUGGAACUGAGACACGGUCCAGACUCCUACGGGAGGCAGCAGUAGGGAAUCUUCCGCAAUAGGCGAAAGCCUGACGGAGCAACGCCGCGUAAGUGAUGACGGUCUUCGGAUCGUAAAACUCUGUUAUUAGGGAAGAACAAAUGUGUAAGUAACUAUGCACGUCUUGACGGUACCUAAUCAGAAAGCCACGGCUAACUACGUG
rnacentral:rRNA from 1 species